AAAAAGGGAAGAUAAGUUUUAAUCAUGGUUUUCUCUAAAGAUAAUAUGACAGGUAUUAUUUUGGCUCUGCUUGCAAGUGUGUUCAUAGGGUCAAGUUUUAUUAUUAAGAAGAAAGGCCUUAGAAGAGCUGCUGUUGUCUCUGGUGUUAGAGCUGGUGUUGGUGGGUAUUCAUAUCUUUUGGAGCCCCUCUGGUGGAUUGGAAUGAUCACAAUGAUAGUCGGAGAGAUUGCAAAUUUUGUGGCAUAUGCUUUUGCUCCGGCGGUUCUAGUCACCCCUCUGGGUGCAUUGAGUAUAAUUGUCAGUGCUGUAUUGGCUCAGAUUAUUUUGAAGGAAAAGUUGCACCCGCUUGGAAUUUUGGGUUGUGUGCUGUGCAUUAUUGGUUCUGUUGUUAUAGUUGUACAUGCACCACAGGAGCAUCCUAUCUCUUCUGUCAAAGAAAUUUGGUAUAUGGCAACUCAGAAAGCAUUUUUGCUCUACAUGGGAUCGGUGAUUGUCUUGGUUUUCAUUCUGGUCUUCUACUUUGCUCCUCAAUGUGGACACUCAAAUGUUCUUGUUUUCACUGGAAUCUGCUCAUUGAUGGGUUCUCUCUCGGUUAUGAGUGUUAAAGCCCUCGGUACUUCACUGAAGUUAACUGUUGAGGGAAAGAAUCAGCUGAUCUAUCCGGAAACCUGGGCUUUUAUGUUUAUUGUGGCAGUUUGUGUUGUUACACAAAUGAACUAUCUCAAUAAGGCCCUUGAUACCUUCAACACUGCCGUUGUCUCUCCUAUAUACUAUGUUAUGUUCACAACACUAACAAUCGUUGCCAGUGUCAUCAUGUUUAAGGACUGGGAUGGACAAAACAUUGGGAGCAUUACAUCAGAAAUAUGCGGAUUCAUCGUUGUGCUCUCUGGAACCAUCUUGUUGCAUGUAACCAGAGAUGUGGAAAGAAGUUCAUCCUUCAGAGGUAAUUACACACCUUCAUCCCCUUCGUUAUCAACACGACUAUGUAAUUCAAACGGGGAAUCACAUAAGCAUGAAGAAGAACAUGAAUCGUACUCUGAGGAAGCCGAUUCUAGAAGACAGGAUCUCCAGGUUUAACAUGAUUGCUUUUAGAGAAGACCAAAACUCUUUUCUUAUUAUGUUCCACAAGGAACCAUGAUUCGCGGUUAGAAAUGUGAAGCAGGCAACCAAUAAUCCAUCUGAAACCUUCAAAGCUGGUGCAAGCCUGCAACGCCUCAGUUUCGUUUCUAUUGCAUCUGAUUCCACAGGAUAUUAAAGAAAGAGUUGGUGGGAGUUGGAGAUAAUCAAAAGUUGUCGCGGACUGAAGCUAUACUGUUCGUUUAUAUAGUUAUAGGAGUUUCAAAUAUUGGUUUGUUGUACAUCAUUAAGAUUAUAGAAGCAAAGUUGAAUGAUGAGAGCUUAAAUAAGAGUUCUCUGUGCAAAACAAGUGAAAUCUAGUAGUUUUGCAGUGAUUAGAAGUG
rnacentral:misc_RNA from 1 species